UGAACGCUGGCGGCGUGCCUAACACAUGCAAGUCGAACGCGAAAGUCACCUUCGGGUGGUGAGUAGAGUGGCAGACGGGUGAGUAACACAUAGGUAAUCUAUCUUCGAGCGAGGGACAACUAAGCGAAAGUUUAGCUAAUCCCUCAUAAUAUCUAUUAUUAUAAGAUAGUAGAUCAAAGGGUGGGAUCUUUCGGGACCACUCGCUUGAAGCGGAGCCUAUGUCCUAUUAGUUAGUUGGUAAGGUAAUGGCUUACCAAGACGAUGAUGGGUAGCCGAGCUGAGAGGCUGAUCGGCCACACUGGAACUGAAACACGGUCCAGACUCCUACGGGAGGCAGCAGUGGGGAAUUUUGCGCAAUGGGCGAAAGCCUGACGCAGCGACGCCGCGUGAGGGAUGAAGGUUCUCGUGAUUGUAAACCUCUGUCAGGAAGGAUUAAAUGUAUAUAGGUUAAUAGCCUAUAUGCUUGACUUAACUUCCAAAGGAAGCCCCGGCUAACUAC
rnacentral:rRNA from 1 species